CUCGUCUCCGACCCUGGACAGAGCCUGGACGGCUCUCCCAAACACUGCAGGACAGCAGAGCUGCAGUUAGCAACACUUUCAACUGGAACAUUCACGAAGGUUCAAGCUAUUUAAGCUCAUUUUAAGCUAACUAACAAGAGUCACUCUGACCUAAAAGACAGGAACCAAAGACGAGAUGAACAGCGGUGGGGUUUGUGUUCUAGGGAGGUGCAUACACACCUGACUGGAUGCACGCGUGCAGCACGUUGAGUCCAUUAUGUUAUCAUUCCGGUCAGCUACAACUCACACAGGAUCACCAAAACUGGACAAUAGAAGAUUGAAAAAACACUCUGCAGACCUAUAAGACAGGAGUUUGAGCGUGAAAUGAACUCCUCCUCGGAUCGAGGAAGGACGACAGCGCGUUACCUCAUCAGGACAAUGUUUCCCUCCGAUUGGCCGUAGAGGCAGCAGAAAAGGAGCCCGAGAGGAAGAGGAGGAGGCAGCCGGUCCUGAAACCCGACCCGAGCUCUGGCUUCCAGUUACUGAGCAGAUACGCUUGAACCCUGAGUGUUCUCAUCCAUUAUGCAAAAACACACAAAACAAUUACCCGUCUCUUUACACAAUUUAUUGAGCAUCAUGUCCAAUAUACAUUGCAUUGACACAAACAGAAGAAAAACCUACAGGAAAUGGAUGGUGGGCGCCGGGAUGGAUCGCCGUUUUCAGAGCGUAUUGCUUCAUGACAUUUUUAAACGCACCGAAUCUGUGCAAAUACAGUGAACACCGGUCAGAGGAGGUUAUGGUGGGUUAGAAAAUCAGACUCAAAAAAAAGGUAACAGCAGUUAUGUGAUCCACACCAAUGCAACAACUGUACACAUCACAUUCACCCAGAAUGCACUAACGACGACGGCCUACUCCAAAAACAUACCUCGCGCCCAAAAACCUGAUUGUAUGCGCCGAAAGAUGGGUUUGCUACUUUAACCGUUGGUCACAGCUCAAUGACAUACAUUUGAUAUGGGAGGUCAACAUGGCUUCAUAGUCAGCAACACUUUUAGUAAAAGCAAAUACAACCCAAACAAGACGUUAAUCAUUUCUCAAAAUAUAGUUUGUCUUUAUUUUUAAAGAGAACACGCAUUUAUACUUUAAAAUGAACCAUUGACUGAUUAGAUGGGGAUUAAUGAGCUUCAUUUGCAUGAGUCAUAUGGGACAAUUUAAGCCUAAAUGCCAAAGUAAGGAUAAUUUUAGUCACAUAUAUCCAUAAAAGCCAAAUGCGCUACAUCAAUUUAACUCAACAUGUUCAGAUUUGUUGGUAAACAUGUUGGUUUACCAGCGGAAACCGUCUUGAAUAUUUUCAGACGCACUUUCUGAGUGCAUCCAGGUUUCCAUGUCAACCGGAGAGAGAGGUGUUCUGGGAAAAACAUGGAAUAUUACAUUUGUCUGACUCAUGGCUGAUCAAGACCUUAAGGACGUUUGAUCCUGAGAAAUUGGCACAAACACUCUGCUAUGGUUAAUUUAACAUUUUAUCACCCAAACAUUUUUAUUGUUGGUGUAUUUAAAGGCUCAAUUGAUAGAUUUUAGAACAUUUCAGACAUAUUGGCAUGGCAGGAAAAGGAAUCAGGAAGCAUUGAAAAAAAAAAA